ensembl:lncRNA
GAGCCAUAUUAUCUCAUAUCACGUCCAUCAGUGUCCACUGUGACCUUCUGGCCCACGGAUAAGAUGACCCAAAGGUAGUGCGGGAGAAUGUAUGUAGGGGACACGAGACACAGCCCUGAACCCACGAUGCCCAUCACAGCUGUCACACCAAAGUCCCUUUUCCUUCACACUCUCAAUUUUUCAUUCUACUCUCACAGUGUGCUUAUAUCUCCACUCGGCACUUAUGUGCCCGCCUCAGACUUCAGCAAUGGAGAGAAAUCAACAGCGAAAUAUAGGAAAACCAGAGGAGGCGUCCUCUUCUCAAACUGCAACUGUCCACAUCCGCUUGCCCCUCCAUAGCUGCAGCAUCCAACACUGUGCCGACGCCCCUCACCGUUGUGGACAGCACCCACUUCCCUGAGAGUGCACACAAGGUCCCCUCAAGGCAACAUCACCACCCCUGUGAGAGGACCAGAAGGGCAGAGGGGCAGACCACCAAGCAGCAAAACCUUCUCACAGAAACAGGGGAAGGGACAGCCAGAGCCACUGACUACAUGCUGUCCUAUUCAGCAAUGAAGAAUAGGUGGGCAAAAUCCUCCAGCCUGGAGAGCUCACCAGGCACGUUCCUGGACAUCCAGCCUUAUCGGCACACACCCAUGAGGAUCUAAAUGUCCACGGCCUCAUCUACUGUUCAUGGACAGGGCCCAGUGACUCUCCUCUUCCUACCAAUGUGCAGAGUGUACUCAGCGGAAGAGUGCCGACAGCUCACAUGCAAACGCUUGGCUAAAGCUCCAGCCCAACUCCCAUCCAGAAAUUCAGCAUCCCUAAUGACUCCUAAGAUGCCAUCGCCCUGCAUGGUGGACGACAUUCUGUUCAGCACCUUCAUGUCAGAGCACGCAAGCCUGACGGCGGGCCAUGGCCAAUUUCUCCCCAGGGACCCAGAAUUUCCCACACCCCACAUUCGGCCAUUGCCAUCAUGCGCUUUUUGGGCGACUUGAAAAAGGCAACUGAGUCAUGUGAUGGUGGAAGGAAGAAGUGUCAGCGUGGUUUGUGGAAAUAUAACAGCAGCAACAGCAGCUCGCUUUCAUCAUUCUCUCCAUGGGGACACAGCUCAUCAACAAUACGAAAGAGUGACUGGGCACCUCAACCAAGAGCGAUUAUUCCCCGGAGACAACAGCAGUUCUCUCUCAGAAGACUCCCUCAUGUUAAUGUACUACACAACAACGUAGGAGGGCAAAGAGCCAAUGUUCCUCGAGCCAUUAUUCACAGGCUAAGUCAGUGCACAGAAUCAGGCAGAAACAGCAAAGCAUUCCUCAGCAGCAAAGUCCAAAAUACUCCUAUUGCACAAUCACUCUUUCGUAUUGUUGAUGAGCUGUGUCCCCAUGGAGAGAAUGAUGAAAGCGAGCUGCUGUUGCUGCUGUUAUAUUUCCACAAACCACGCUGACACUUCUUCCUUCCACCAUCACAUGACUCAGUUGCCUUUUUCAAGUCGCCCAAAAAGCGCAUGAUGGCAAUGGCCGAAUGUGGGGUGUGGGAAAUUCUGGGUCCCUGGGGAGAAAUUGGCCAUGGCCCGCCGUCAGGCUUGCGUGCUCUGACAUGAAGGUGCUGAACAGAAUGUCGUCCACCAUGCAGGGCGAUGGCAUCUUAGGAGUCAUUAGGGAUGCUGAAUUUCUGGAUGGGAGUUGGGCUGGAGCUUUAGCCAAGCGUUACCAUGUGAGCUGUCGGCACUCUUCCGCUGAGUACACUCUGCACAUUGGUAGGAAGAGGAGAGUCACUGGGCCCUGUCCAUGAACAGUAGAUGAGGCCGUGGACAUUUAGAUCCUCAUGGGUGUGUGCCGAUAAGGCUGGAUGUCCAGGAACGUGCCUGGCGAGCUCUCCAGGCUGGAGGAUUUUGCCCUCCUAUUCUUCAUUGCUGAAUAGGACAGCAUGUAGUCAGUGGCUCUGGCUGUCCCUUCCCCUGUUUCUGUGAGAAGGUGUUGCUGCUUGGUGGUCAGCCCCUCUGCCCCUUUGGUCUUCUCACAGGGGUGGUGAUGUUGCCUCGAGGGGACGUUGUGUGCACUCUCAGGGAAGUGGGUGCUGUCCACAACGGUGAGGGGCGUCGGCACAGGGUUGGGUGCUGCAGCUAUGGAGGGGCAAGAG